rnacentral:rRNA from 1 species
UGAGGAAUAUUGGACAAUGGGUGAAAGCCUGAUCCAGCCAUCCCGCGUGAAGGACGACGGCCCUAUGGGUUGUAAACUUCUUUUGUACAGGAAUAAACCAUUCUACGUGUAGGAUGCUGAAGGUACUGUACGAAUAAGCACCGGCUAACUCCGUGCCAGCAGCCGCGGUAAUACGGAGGGUGCAAGCGUUAUCCGGAUUUAUUGGGUUUAAAGGGUCCGUAGGCGGACCGAUAAGUCAGUGGUGAAAUCUCAUAGCUUAACUAUGAAACUGCCAUUGAUACUGUCGGUCUUGAGUAAAUUUGAAGUGGCUGGAAUAAGUAGUGUAGCGGUGAAAUGCAUAGAUAUUACUUAGAACACCAAUUGCGAAGGCAGGUCACUAAGAUUUAACUGACGCUGAGGGACGAAAGCGUGGGGAGCGAACA